UUAUUAGUGCAUUUUACUCAACAACGUUUUGCCAUACGUCCUAAGAAUAUAAGCGCACCAAGUUGUCCCUUUUAUACGUUACAUACCAGAUAUGUGUAACUUUUAAUAUUAAAGUAAUAUUUUAUUAUGUUUAUUUUAUCGGAAAAUACAAAAAUAUUAGGUAUUAUAAUUGCAAAUAUUUAUAUGUUUAUUUGCGCUUUCAAUUACAUUAUUGUAUUACUUAAUUUUAUUAAAUAUUAUCGUGAUAUAAAUUUUUAUAAAUAUAUUUUCUUACACAACCGGUAUAAAUAUUUUUUUAAUAUUAAUUUUAAUUAAAGAUUAAGGAAAAAUCUGUCGAUAUAUUAAACGCCUCAAUUGCAAGGAAUUAAAAAUAAAAUAUAAGAAACAUUGAGGAACAUGUUUCCCAAAAUUCAUGACUUUCAAAUUGUAAAUACUACAUAAGAGACGACAUAUUAUAACAGGGCGAGAAGAAAUAUUAUUGCAAACACUAUAAUUACUAUUGUGUAUUAAGAUGUGGAAAUGAGACCAAAGCAAGGAAAUACUGGAAAGAAGAGGGAGAAAAAAGAUGCAGACUAUGUGAAAGGAAAGAAGAAGACCUGAGACAUGUAAUAGAAAAAUGUGAAAUAACGACAUAGACGACAAUAACGACAAAGGACAUAGAAAAAACACCAAAUGAGACUGGAGAAGGUCUAACAGAACUAAAAGUAAUAAUAGAGAAGAGAAGGACAAUACAAGACGGGGAGGAACGACAGGAAGGAAGCACAGCAAGGAGGUAGCCCAAAGUUGAAAUAGUUUUUAGUCAUUAGUUUUUAGUUUUUUUAGUUUUAGUUUUUAGAGAUAGAAUAAUUAAGAGAGUGCACUAUAAUAGAGUGGAUAAGAGGGGAGGUAGAUAUAUAAGAAGCGAAAUAGGUAUAAGAGGUGUAAAACCAGAAGGCCAAUUAUUGCUUCGUCCAAAGCCGAAAGGCACAGACUAAGCAAUGAUAAAUAAAUACUAUUGUGUAUUAAAAUAAUGAGUAAUAGUUGAUGCAUGUAGUAUAAUAUUUAAAGGCUCAAGUUCAAAAGUAUUUAUUGCUUUUACUUAUUCGCGAUUUAUAUAAGACAGGAGAAAUGUACAAAUUUUUAGUUAUAUAAUGUUAAGGAACGAUAAUACUUGUAAAUUACAAGAAACUCUAAACGUUAGGAAAGAAGAUAUAUAUGUACGCAGAUAUAUCGUGCAUACACAGCAGGCCACAUUUAUCUCCGCCAUCCUUCAUUUCUAAUAACUCUCCUAUUUGUCACGAUGCAAGAAAUUAUUUUGCGAGAAAGUUAUUGUAUUUCAGGGGAGGAAUUGAGCUCUGAAGUAAUUCACCUUCCUUGAACUUGUACCUCAAUGAAUUGCUUGCGGAAUUUUUGACCCAAAUUAUUUCAAGUGAUAUGUCAUGGGACAUCGUAUUUAGUGGUAAACAAAAAAAUAGGCCAUAUCCUUUAAGUGACAUUACUACUAGUCAAAAUCUCAGAAAAUGUGACCUUGAAAUGACAUUCACUCUUACAGUCUAAUUUUCCUCCUGAAAUGCAUGUACAAUAACUUUCUCUUGAAACAUUUUUCUGUAUCGUGACAAAUAAGAGAGUAAUUAAGGUUGGCAGAGUUAGGUGAUAUAUGUAUAUGUAUUUAUAAUGUUCUUUCUUCCUUACUAGCCAGUUUUUCACGGUCUAUAAACACAUGUAUGUUCAACCAAACUCUGCUUACAUGGGAGCGAAUGUUGUGUGAAAACUUAUGUUAUGUGGAUAUUAUUGGGUAAUUAAGAGUGGGAAUUUAUGUCAUACAUGACAAUAUGUAAUAUGUAUUAAUAUAAUGAGAAUAAUUAUAAUAAGAUUAUUAUAAUCGUAAGACGUCUUAACAUUUGCUCGAUGAUACUAUACCAUAGUAAUAAAAAUGAAGCACUAUGUAAUAGUAUAAUGCAUUAGAACGCGGAAUUAAUUAGCUGAUGUUUCAUUCUUAAACGCAUUUAGAUUUAUCAAUUGUGUAAACAAGAAUAACAACCGAUGUAUAUAUGUGAAAAAACACAUAAAGAUUUGUAGAUAACUAAGGUAUUUAAAAAAAGUAUAUGGAAAAGUAAUUUGUUUUAAGUAGAAUAUUUAUAUAAAUACGAGGAUACUAGCAUACGUAUACGUAUUAGAAACAGCAAAUUUUCACCGUUUUUGUUAUUAAAUAUGUUCUAAUUAUACAAUGGUUGUUUCUA